AAGGUCUCAUAGAAAUGUGUAAAGUCCUUGGAGAUGGUUGCUCUCUUGUUACACUGGUAAUGGACAAGCUAUUUCUCUAAUUCUAUAGAAUUUCAUGAUUCAGUACUAAUUGUUAUAGAUAAAGAGAACAAAUUUAACAAGCACAAAAUAAAAUCGGACAAGAAAUAAAAAAAAAAUUAACACAAAAUUAGAUAAAAAUACGGGAUUACGAAUCACUUGUAUUAUAUUUUUUUAAAUUUAAAUAAUAAUUACACGUAGGUUUAUGUAUAUAAGUGACAUGUAUGUAAAAUAACAAAACAAUAUUUUAUUUAUAAUUUCUUUCUGAUAGGCAUAUAAGUGCCUCUUAGAAUAAAAUUUUUAAGGAUGCUAAUUGUAUUUUUUUCCUACCCAAAAAAACACUAUAUUGUAUAUGACAACAUACAAUAUUCUUUAAAUUUUUGGGAAAACUUCAUUAACUGAGGUAGGAGCUAAGCUUUUUCUUGUUACGCUAAUGAUUUCAAAAGCGUUCAUUACACUGGCUGAAGCUCUUGAUGAUCCACUCCUUCAAAGCUGGGUCAGUUGAGCGGACAUUGAAACCAAAUAUUUUAUAUUUUUUGUCCCUUCAUGAAAAGUUUUUGCGAACGCCCUUGACUUGUUUAUUUAAGAAAAAAAUGAUUUAAUUUGUAUUAGGUGACAAUUUAUUUUAUUGUUGUUGAAUUAAAUGAAAUUUUAAAAAAACAUGCUGUUAAAAUUCGUUAUAAAAAAUGUUUUUUAUUUAUUAUUAAAUUCAAAGACUUUAAAUAAAAAACUAAAUCAUUUUUUGUUUAACAUUCGACCAGAAUAACCAGUAAUCGGUAUAUACUAUUUAAAAUUAUAAGUGAAAAGGCAAUUUAUGAUUAUAUUCAAUUAGUUGUAAGUUUGAUAAUAAAUUCACCUUGAUUAUAUGAUUUUGAUAUAAUGUGGUGUUAUAUUGAUUUAGAUAUAGGAUUUAAAAAAAAUCCGAUAUCACAUAUAUCGGUCUAUAUUUAAUAUCGGUUUUCAUAUCGACCCAGGCCUAGAAAAAAAAAAAUGCCCGAAAAAGUAGAUUUUUACUCGAAUUUUGAAGGCAUUGUUGAAUUCUAUUAAAAAUUUUUAUUUAUAAAAUUCAAUUAGAAAAAUUCAAUUUUUGUAACUACAUAAUAUUUAUACAAUUUUUUUGUGCCCAAUUCAAUAUAAAUUUCUAAAUACGCUCUUGAUUAGAAAAUAUUACUAAAACUAUGAAAUGAAUCUUUUUUAUUUUACU